AGCAGCCGCGGUAAUUCCAGCUCCAAUAGCGUAUAUUAAAGUUGUUGCAGUUAAAAAGCUCGUAGUUGAAUUUCGGGAUCAGUACGCUGGUCGUGCCUUUGGUAUGUACUGGUGUCACUGAUUCCUCCCUUCUGAAGAACCGUUAUGCCAUUUAUUUGGUGUGGCGGGGAAUCAGGACUGUUACUUUGAAAAAAUUAGAGUGUUUAAAGCAGGCUCGCGCUUGAAUACAUUAGCAUGGAAUAAUGAAAUAGGACGUUUGAUCUUAUUUUGUUGGUUUCUAGGAUCGACGUAAUGAUUAAUAGGGAUAGUUGGGGGCAUUAGUAUUCAAUUGUCAGAGGUGAAAUUCUUGGAUUUAUUGAAGACUAACUACUGCGAAAGCAUUUGCCAAGGAUGUUUUCAUUAAUCAAGAACGAAAGUUAGGGGAUCGAAGACGAUCAGAUACCGUCGUAGUCUUAACCAUAAACUAUGCCGACUAGGGAUCGGAUGAUGUUAAUUUUUAAUGACUCAUUCGGCGCCUUAA
rnacentral:rRNA from 1 species